rnacentral:lncRNA from 1 species
CCCGAUCUGUUUUGAAGGGUAUCGGUUACAUCUCCAUGGUGUGAGAACCCCCAGAGUAACAUUUGUUGGCCUACCUGGACCUCUGGCAUAUCAGGGAGCAUGCUUGGAAUCAGAGGACCGAUUUGCAUGAAUUUUUAUCCAAAGGAGAAUGGUUUUCCGGGGAGAACUUAGGAGGACUUGGGGCCGUGGUCACUUGACAACUCUAUUCAUUGAUUCAUUCAUGUGUUCCUUUUUUCACUCAUUCAUUUAUUCCACGAACAUUUAUUGAAUGUUUAUUUUGGUGGCAGUGGGCAGGAAUGCUGUAGCAACCGCAUUUGAGAAUAGCACUUGAAAGGGAGCUUAAGAAUCUUCUUGACCAAACACCUACCCCAUUCAGCAAUGUUUCCUAAAACUGGAGAGUUGCUUUAGGGCUCAGGUUUCCAGGUCAGUGAUAAGGCAGGAAUGAAUGAUAUAGCCCAAACCCGGAAGAGAUACUCCUCUACCUGGCAGGAGAAUGGGUUUAAAACAAGGGCAGAGAUUGGUCAGGAAGCUCUCUUUUCCGACAGCUGGCUAAACAGUGCAGUCACUUGAUCAGGUGGUGAGAUUUGAAUGCAAUAAAACAAGCGUCAAGAAAACCCGAUUAGAUAAGCCUCAAGUACUCGCACAGUCCUUACGCUAUGAUAACCUCCCACUAAAAUGUCACGUACAGGCUGUGUGUGAUGGGAAACUCUGCUGACUUGGAAUUGGAAAGCCAGGCAGGAGGCGUCGGACCUGCAUUUUGACCUCCAGAGUCUGAAUCCCAGUGGAGGCUUCGGGGAUCUAGAAGCUGUUACUCCAGAGCCUUGCCCGGCCUUGGCCAAGUGGAAAGGACAUCUUCUCCUCUGUUAACUCAACAUCUUCAGGAAUGGCAGCGGCCACUGGAGCUCUCUCAUUCAGACACAAGCUCCCGUGAAAGCAAAGAGAAGGCAGUUUCGCUGCAGGGCACCCCACAGCUGUGCUUUCUAGUAUUUGCCCAAAUGGCUUCCUCCAGUAACAGCGAUCACCAAAGCUCUCUGUGUUGAGUAAGUAAGCUUCAUUUUAACCACGCCUGGCUCUGAGUGUUGUAGCCCUCUAAGUUAUUCUAGAACAGUACCCGCACGUGCGUUUCUUAGCCCAGACACCCUGGUAUGGGAGGGUGCCCUCACCAGCAUGGAUCACUGGCAGUUUGGUUGGGAAGGACGAGGCAGUUGUUCAGGGAGGGCUGGAGGUGCAACCUGUCAUGCCGGUUAAAAAGCAGCCUUUAUUUAUUUUUCAAUUUUUUUUAGUGUUUAUUUAUUUUUGAGACACAGAGAGACAGAGCAUGAGCAGGGGAGGGUCAGAGAGAGAGGGAGACACAGAAUCCGAAACAGGCUCCGGGCUCCGAGCUGUCAGCACAGAGCCCGACGCGGGGCUCGAACUCACGGACCAUGAGAUCACGACCUGAGCUGAAGUUGGACGCUCAGCCAACUGAGGCACCCAGGCGCCCCAAAAGCAGCCUUUUUUUAAACAUGCGUUGAUUCCUGGCAAACUCGAGUCUACAGGUGGAUCUGAGUCCCUUGCCCACUGUUAGGGUCUGGAGGGUAGCCAUUUGCUCUGCCAAGUUCAUGACCAGGUCUUUGGAGGCACUUGUUGAAAAAUCCUAUGUUUCGGGGUUUGUGGGGAAAGCAGAAAUAUUCUAUCCCUUUUAGAGAAACCAUCUCAUGGGCCAGACUC